GUCUGGGGUGGUAUAAUUGAACUUCGCACAUUCAUUGAUGUUUACUAUUUCGUGUUAUUGUAAACUCGUUUUUGGUGGUGGUCGCAAUAACCCAGCUCAAAGCGCAUUUAUAGUUGGCCGCAUCAACCCAGCUGAUGGGACUUGAUAUGUCAAAACAUUUUUGAAUUCCCCUUACAAAAACAUAACGAAAAUAUUAACUUCAAAAUAAAUAAGUUAUAAAUUU